rnacentral:antisense_RNA from 1 species
CAGCAUGGAGAGCAGAGCGCAAAGAUUUCCUCCAGACUCCCACAUUCUCCCUUGGAAUCCAAGAACUUGUCUACUAUCACAACACUUUAGUACCCACUUCUCCUAAGGAGGCAGCAGAAACCAAGGUAAUCACAAUGGUCAACAGCAGCGAAGGCAGCACUUUCUGAUUUUAAACUUGACUGCUAUGGAUGCCACCUCAGUUUAAUAUCUAGGCAUCCUGGAUGCUACUUGAAGCCUGCAGCCCUGACUCCUGGGCUGGGAGGUGGGCAAGGACUUGUAUUUUGUAGCUCUGCUGAGAGGGAACAGCUGUCCAUUGGUGGCAGGACUGACACCUCCCAG